GACUCCAUAGCUCAGUGGUUAGAGCAUGCGAUUGCAGCUUACGUAAUAUCGCAGGGCCGGGGGUUCGAAUCUCCCUGGGGUCU